rnacentral:rRNA from 1 species
AAAUUCGUGGUCAAGCUACUAAGGGCGAACGGUGGAUGCCUUGGCGCCAGGAAGCGAUGAAGGGCGUGGCUAGCUGCGAUAAGCCUCGGGGAGCCGCAAGCAGGCUUCGAUCCGAGGAUGCCCGAAUGGGGGAACCCGGCUGGGGUAAUGCCCAGUCGUCCGUCACUGAAUCCAUAGGUGGCGCGACGCGAACCGAGGGAACUGAAACAUCUCAGUACCUCGAGGGAAAAGAAAAAACGAUUGCCCUAGUAGCGGCGAGCGAACGGGCAAUAGCCUAAACCAGAUC